CGAAGCAGUAGCUCAUGCUGCUCAUUUCUCCAAAACAAUCCCUCGAAGGCACAUCUAAAUAAAAUCGACGACUGCCUUGCAAUUAUCUCCACAAGAAACAUUGUCUCACCCAGUAUAAAAAACCUUAAUAUCCCCGCUGACUUCAAAUCCGGAGAACUCAAAACUUCCUAGUUAAAAAUAAUAAUGGGGGAAAUUGCUAAUCUUGGGUUUAAUGGCAUGGCUACAAGCCGCAAUACCCACUUGCAAUAGAGGAAUCGGAAUUCGGUUUUCAAUUGUGUUAUCGAUUGACAGAUUUAUCUACAAUCAAACAAGCAGAUACUGUUGAAUAUCUACCAACUUGCAGUCGACCAUUCCUUUUGCUCCUUUGAACAUUGGUUCAGCCAAAGGACUACAAUAAGUGGAACUAAAGAUCUCCAAUAAAAAUUACGAGGUAAAAACAUAACUAAUAGUGCCGCCCCCUCAAUCCUGGCUACGCCUAUGCAUCAAAAUCAACAAAUAUGCUUUGAUUAUUCUAUUUUGCUCCAUCCCACAACUCUUGAAAACUCGUGUCAGC